UUAAGGCAUCACGGGUCUAGCUGAAAGUUUCGAUAAGACGGAGAACGUUCCGAUCAUCCGUUUCGCGGGCCCUGAGUGCAAGAAGAGUCUUCCCCCUAGCUGCACACUGCGUGUGUCUAGUGCCUACACAAUGCCUACACGCGCCCUGUCUGUGCCAUCCUUUCUCCUCCGCGUCUCUGCAUUACCCGCGUGUACGAUCGAUAUCUUGGCCUACGCGCUCUUCAUCGACAAAGAACCGCUCCUCUCCUCCCCUCGCAAGAGAGUUCCGGGCGCCAGCUGCGGCAGCAACGCGCUGUGGCGAGGGGAAAAGCGCGCGGCUCGAACACGCAGGCGCGGUCUAAUUAAUAUUCCUAAUUUGUCGCUAGCGCAGCCCGGGACAGUGCCGCCGCCGUGCUGCAGGAGGAGCAGCCUCCUGAGCACGCGCGGCGCGACGCCGUUAGCGUCGGCGUUCCCGCCGAAAAAGAAUGUCCCGCGUCGUCGGCGAUGUGUUUACCAGGAGGCUCGACGGCAAGCCGACGGUCCGGAUGCGCGAAGCCGCUGCUGCUGCCGCGUCCCGACGAGAACAUCUGCAGACGGCGCGCUUUCCAGGCGCCGACGAGUAUUGAAGAGACCUUAGCGAGAUCGGGGAAGCGAGAGGAGAGAGCGAGAGCUCCGGGUUUUGUUCCCGGUGGCUCCCGGAUUCAAAGAUGGCGCUGCGGCUGGCUUGUUUUGCAUCGGGCCGCGACUCGCGAGCGGCGGCGGCGGCUUCACGGACGGCUCGGGAACGCGCGCUUCGGCGCGCGUCGGCGGCAUCUGUGGCGUCGUUCGAAAUCAGUGGGAUCCGUCGUCGCCACCGUCUCGAAGCGCAGCCGGAUACCGAGGCCUGCGUUCGUGGACCCGUUGCAGGACUACAACUUCAAGGAUGAAGCACAAGAUGAAAAGACAAAGUUCGAGCGAGAACGUGGACUGCUCGACUCUGGGCACGAACAGCGGCUUCACUGUCGUCGCUGAGGCCUGCGCCAGCGGAAAGAAACCGAGGUGCACGGUCGGACAAGCAGAAUGUGUCUGCACCACGUGGACCACUCGUGAAAGAAGCCUUAGAUCUGAGUAUCGGCGUGCAGCGCUCGACAAGGCAAACCGAUUAGUCAUGGGUUGAAAACUGCUUUCGUUUCUAGACACUUAAAACGCUCGAACGAAUAUAAGCACUCUAGAUAGAAAGAAAUUGCAUGGUGUCUAAUUCUCGUGUGCUGUAUUAGUUAUGUUUCUCCAACGUUUAUUCCACACCUUCGGGGCACAAUCUCAGCGAUAUAAUUAGGAUUGCUGCCGUAGUCAAGUCAGUAUAAAGGUCCAUUUUUUUCGCUGCCAUCACUCGGUGCACGACAAUGACGCAUAUUAUAGUUCACAGGUAUCAGUCAUUGGAACGCGAUACCCCACGCGGAGUUUUAGUUCUCCUCCCUAAAUUCGUUUUGUGAGUGGCCAAGGCCCCAACAUGGAUGGUAGUAAGAUAUUUGUAGGUGCACUUAUUUUGUCCAUAGCAAUGAGGAUGUAACACUUGAUCGAAGCAAUCUCAGCUGCGAGCCGCUUUCAUGUUAUAAUUAAGCUUCAAGAGUGGUGUCCGCUUCAGGUAAUAUUAAUUAAAGCAAUUAUCAAACCAUGACAAAAUACAUUUAAUAAUUUUUUGCAGGAGUUUGGAACAUUCACGGGCGAUGAACCGCUGGCGAUCGAACUCUAAGUUGAGAGAAAUUAAAUGACAGAUUAAUAGAUGACGGGAAAUAAUCGAAACUUAUUCAUGGCGUGGAAGAUUCAUUAUGACAGAAAUCACGUAGCAUUCCAUAAAGUUGGAAAUUCAUAUUUUCCAAAAAUAUUCUGACGCCACCGCUCAGAAGGGCAAUUUUUUGCCGAUAAGUAUAAAUACCAAAAGUAAAGACAGCAUUUUAAGAACUUUAGACACAAAGCAAGGUUUGUACUCAGCUGUAGCAGAAGAAAGUUUUUUAUUUCCCAUCAGGAGGUGCUCAAAGAUUAUUUGACAGUAUUUGUGUUACAGAUGCAGAUAUCGGCAAGCGUAGGUGUUCAUUUGUUUAGUGUUAGUACUUAUCACUUUGAUCGUACCUAAGGUACUUGCAACCACAUUUUGUGCACAUGUUUGAGUUCGCAUCUUUGCGUAUAUUUUUACAUAUAUAUUGCUUAUAUACACUAGCAUGCACAGUCUUGUGCGAAUUUUCCAACAUCACCGCUAGGCUUUUCUUCGUGCGUACACUUGACAACUGCGUACAAGACAUCAUAAUUUAUCUUACGAUGAGUAGGCGAAAAGUGUUGUUAUAGAUUGUAUUGAACCAUUGCAGGCCAUUUUCCCGGUAUAUUCAUUGCAAAGGGCUAAAUUUUCCCAGGAAUCUUGUAACCAUCGAAACGCACUUCUCAGGUUUCCACAAAAACCUUUGUUUGUGUUCAAAAACAUUUCCAUUCGAGUGAAAGAUCAGGACGAAUAUUGACUUUAUAAAUUGCAAACGAUGCUGAUCGGCCUGUUCAUAAAUAAUGCACUUACCUAGGGUUGAUCGUGAAUUUUAUGCAGACAUAGUGUGGUGUACCAGUUCUUACAAGUCUUGAACAAGCUAUAUAUUUCAAAUCCCUUUGAGAUAUCCUUUUUCAAUCUGUGGAAAUGCCCUUGAUAGGUCGUAAGAAGCAAUACCUUAAAAUUUAUUUCCUAGUCAAUGCAUUGCGCACAACUUAAUAUCGCUGUGUAGAUACAAUUCACUUCUAUCUUUCACCACCUCCCAUAAUUGAAGUCGUCAUCUUGUACUGCUUUUACACUCAUAGUAACGUUUUUGGUCCUUCCGUGGUUGCAUGCUUCCGCUGCGAACAAACGUUCGACAGCGCAUGCUCCCAAAUGUCUCAUGGUGCACAAAUGUUGUACAGGGUCUCUAUUUAUUGCCGACUGUUGCAACCUUCAGCUUACUUUUCUUAUGCUGUGUUGCAUGCUACAGUUAAUGAUGCGCCAUGUUCCCUGUGUAAAGUGUAUGAUUAGAAGACUGUUUGGGUCGUCAGAUGUGUAUGUGGCCAUCGUGUAUGUGGCCGUCAUGUAAGUGGUAUGAAGUAAUAUAUAUGUUUAGUGUAUGCAUGCAGGAACGACUCAAAGAAACGACAGACUGAGUCUGCCAUUUCUUACUCGCGCAUUUUGUAGCUGGGUGGUUUCAGAAUGCAGCCGCGACGUUGAUGUUCACAUCAGAGAAAAGCUUAAUGACGUUCAACGAUUCUUUACGACUAUCUUACUUUUGAAGUGGCUCAAAUUUUUAGUGUACUGCCAGCCGGCAGAAGAAAUCACGAACAAGGUUGAUAGCUAAAAUAUAUUAUUUUUUUGAAAUAUGUAUGUGUGUAUCACUGUUAUGCUCAUAAAGCUAGCAUAUUAGCACUAAGACUGUAUAAGUAGUGAAAACCGCCAGCCUACAUUCUGUAGCGUGCAGAGGACAUCUGACAAAGCUCAUUCGCUGUGAAAUAUUUGUACCACUGGAAUGUGUCGUAAUUACCGCUGUUGUGCAACGUGGUGUCGUCCAUUCUUUGUAGUGAGCCCGUGUGGCUUCACCAUGUCUUCUCUGUGUGCUCCGCCACUCUAAACCGAACACAAGUUAAGCGCAUCUCAGGAAACUGUAUACCCAAGGCGCACGGCGCAUUCUGGGUUGUGCACGGUACACCCUGCUGCGCCUGCACUCGGCCUGUCAUCCCUUGCCCCUUCGACGCAUUCAGCCUUCAAUUUUGGUGCUUCUAAGUUGUAUAGGUAUGCUUGCAAGGUUACCACAGAGACUAAUAGAAUCAAUGCGUGAUAUAAUAGAAAAUUGUCAUGCAUCCGAAAUUGUACCAUAAAGCGACAGAAGAAAACUUAUACGGGGUGGUCAGAAAUCAAGAAUGGCCGAAGAUGCUCAGCAUAUGUAUGACAUUAUAUAUCGUGUUUGUUUCGCAAGGGUCGCCGGAGCAAGAUGGCCACGUCGAUAAGUUUGUGGCUGCUAUGAUCGAAGGUUGACUAACUACUCUACCCCCCUUGCAUCGCGAGAGCUCUAGGUGUUUUGAUUGGCUCAAUUUGACUCCUCACGAAGCAGCGACGAGGCAGCACGUUCUACAAGUCGCCCGCUAGAAUGACUGUAUCACAUUCACACCACGUCAGAGCUGUGAAUGUCAUGCAAAAUAAUGACAGUGGACUGACUUGACCAUAGGUCGAUUAACUCUGCGCGCUGAUUCGCUAGCGCUCUGUGCCGCGGACAUGUAAAAAUAAAGUGAUACAUAAUGCAGAAAUUAAUAAAACCGGAAAACGGACCUAACUACCAAAAGUACUUCAGAACGCAAAGCGGGCUGAAUGAUGCGACGAACAGUGGGUGAACAAGAAAGGGCUCUACCUGGGCCAACGCUUCGACAAGGACAAGUCACACUUGUCGAAGCCUUGGCUCCAUGCUGAGGCUUCCCUUGUUUGCACACUGUCGAUGACUUUCGUCUCCACUUUCCUGUGACCAUUUGUCUUGCUUAGGGCUGAAUGAUGUUCAAUGUCAACUUCUUAGUACACCCCCAUCCGAAUUUGUUUUGCUUGCAAACGCAUAUACGUCCCUAUUUUGUCGUUAGCGUUGUCUGUGUGCACAAGUGGACACACUUUAUCCUUGCUAUGUUCGAAUUCUUGUAGCGACGUUUACUAACGGGACAUUGUACGUGUAUUAGAAACUUCCCUAACACUCAAAGUGACAUAUACAACAAAGUACACCCGAAGAAAGUUAGUUUUUUCAAUGUUGAAUGUGCGUCUCAGAUGUCGAAAGAAUAUAUGUGUUGGGGAAACUGUCUUCUGGGAGUCAGCUGCAUGCUGAGAUGUGUAUCUGCUAGAAAUGUUAUGCCAUUCAGCAAAAAUUCUAUUUGACGGAGAGUCAUAGAACAUAUGCUAGUCAAUGCCACACAUCGUUGCUCGCACUUGGUACAACCGGUGUAAACCAUGAUGCAUAUAUUAUUUAUGUUGUUCUUGCUGUAUUGUCAUCAAGUAUAUAAUAUAGGAAGAUUGUCUUACAAGUUUGCUGAUUCGAAGUUUGGCUUCUCCUUCCGUGUGUUACGGAAAUAUGCGACGCACACGGCUCUUAAUUGUGGGGUGCUCAACUUAGUGCUAAUCCGUACCUUGCUGAGCGUCGCCAUCCAUGUGCUCUUUUGAAUGUCUUGAGUAUUAAAUAAACAUUACAGCUGCUUUAAA